AGUGAACGCUGGCGGUAGGCCUAACACAUGCAAGUCGAACGGCAGCACAGUAAGAGCUUGCUCUUACGGGUGGCGAGUGGCGGACGGGUGAGGAAUACAUCGGAAUCUACUUUUUCGUGGGGGAUAACGUAGGGAAACUUACGCUAAUACCGCAUACGACCUACGGGUGAAAGCAGGGGAUCUUCGGACCUUGCGCGAUUGAAUGAGCCGAUGUCGGAUUAGCUAGUUGGCGGGGUAAAGGCCCACCAAGGCGACGAUCCGUAGCUGGUCUGAGAGGAUGAUCAGCCACACUGGACCUGAGACACGGUCCAGACUCCUCCGGGAGGCAGCAGUGGGGAAUAUUGGACAAUGGGCGCAAGCCUGAUCCAGCCAUACCGCGUGGGUGAAGAAGGCCUUCGGGUUGUAAAGCCCUUUUGUUGGGAAAGAAAAGCAGCAGGUUAAUACCCCGCUGUUCUGACGGUACCCAAAGAAUAAGCACCGGCUAACUUCGUG
rnacentral:rRNA from 1 species